rnacentral:lncRNA from 1 species
GGAUCAUUGGUCCCCACUGAUUCCCAAUAACAUCUGUUCUUCUUUAGGUCAAGACCCAGCCUCACUUCAAAACUCACUAGGAAUGGACCUCCCUUUUCUUUUCCCCUUUUAGAGCCCAGAGUAGUCAUAGAGUAGUCUCUCAUUAAUAUAUUAAUAGACUGUCAGAGCUAGCCCAGUACAAUUUAUCACUACACCUGAUUCAUUUUAGUGAGGGAGACACUAACAUCUGAAGCUCCAUCGUGCAUCAUCCUGACCAACCUUUCAUUUUACAGUGGGACAGUUCGAGAUCCAAAAGGCAGAAGUCCAUUUUCUUUCUUCUCUUGGUCGGAAGAGCUUUGUAAUGGUUGCCCUAAGUCUCUUUGAUGCAGGGCAGGUGAGCCCCAGAAUUGGUGCUUAGUCCAGGAGGGUUCUUAGCUUUGCCCAGGGAAGAAGUUGAGCAUGAGCAGGUGGUGUUAGACAGCAAUAUUUUAUCAAAUGGUAAAAUUUGCUCCUUGUGGAGCAGGACUAACUCAUAGACCAUGCACAGAGUCAGCAGGGUAUGGGCUCUUGGCAACUGUAUUUAUGCUCACUUAUACCCACUUUCAAUUACACACAAAUUAAGGGGCAGGUUAAUGCAAACUGAAGGAUGGGCUAUUCAGAACUUUCUUUUUUGGGGGGAAGAGAGAGGGAAUGGUGUUUUGCUCUUGUCACUCAGGCUGGAGUGCAAUGGCACAAUCUUAGCUCACUGCAACCUCCGCCUCCUGGGCUCAAGCGAUUCUCCUGCCUCAGCCUCCUGAGUAGCUGAGAUUACAGGUGUCUGCCACCACGCAUGGCUAAUUUUUGUUCACCAUGUUGAUUACACUGCUCUUGAACUCCUGGCCUCAAGUGAGCCGCCUGCCUAGGCCUCCCAAAGUGCUAGGAUUACAGGCGUGAGCCACCACGCCCAGCCAGGUUACUUAGAACUUUCUAGGAAACGGGUGAUAACUUCUGGGUCAUGGCCAUGGAAAGGGGUGGUAACUUCCAGGUCGUUGCCAUGGCAUUUGUAAACUGUCAUGGCACUUGUGGGAGUGUCUUAUGUGAAUGAACAAUGAGAACAGCCAGGAAUGGCUUUUGUCACCAUCUAUUGGUUCCUGCCGGUUUCUUCAUUUCAUCUCAUCAGGACCAGGAAAUAAGUCAUUCCAGUCCCCAGCCUCAUCUUGAAAUGAAAUUUUAGCUCAUCCUCUUAUAUCCUGAAGUGUUAUCAUUAGUUGUUGAUUCGUUAUUUACAUACAACAACAGCAACAAAAAAUUUUGAUGUGUCCUAUUUCUCUAGUAAGCCCAGUAAAAUUAUAAGGGCUUAAAGAGCAGACAAAAUAGAAGAUAGAGAAAUAGACAGAAGAAAAAUGAAAGGAAGAAAGGAGAAAAUACAGGUAUUAUGGGAGAUAGGCUGGGACAGAGAAGGAAAGCCAGGAAGAAGAGACAGCAUGAGCAAAAGCAUGAAGAUCAGAAUUCAAAGAGGAUGCUGCUAAGAAACUACAGACAGAGUCUUGCUAUGUUGCCCAGUCUGGUCUCAAACUCCUGGCCUGAAGCAAUCCUACCUUGACCUCCCAAAGUGCUGGGAUUACAGCAAGAAGGCAGCCAUCUGCAGGCCAGGAAGAGAGCUUGCCCAUGCUGGCACCCUGA